rnacentral:rRNA from 1 species
UACAGAGGGGGCAAGCGUUGUUCGGAAUUACUGGGCGGAAAGGGCGCGUAGGCGGCCUGUUAAGUCGAACGUGAAAUCCCUGGGCUCAACCCAGGAACUGCGUCCGAUACUGGCAGGCUUGAAUCCGGGAGAGGGAUGCGGAAUUCCAGGUGUAGCGGUGAAAUGCGUAGAUAUCUGGAGGAACACCGGUGGCGAAGGCGGCAUCCUGGACCGGCAUUGACGCUGAGGCGCGAAAGCCAGGGGAGCAAACGGG